rnacentral:pre_miRNA from 12 species
UGAAAGACAUGGGUAGUGAGAUGCUUACCUCGGAUUCGCGUCUCACUACCUUGUCUUUC